rnacentral:rRNA from 1 species
AUGACCAGAGACAACCUGAGGAAAAGGCACAUAAUUAAACCAUUAGAAUGUGUUUUCUGUGCUGAACAUGAGAUAAAUCAUCACUUAUUCUUUGACUGUGUUGUAACCAGGAGUAUUUGGUCUUUUGUCAGUCAAUUUUUCCAAAAGGAUUUGGGCACAAACUUUGAGCCUGUGGCUCGCUUCUGGAUUUCUAACAAAAAACAUUUAGCUUUGAAUGUAGUUAGCUCUGUUGUCCUGUGGUGUUUAUGAAAAUAUAGAAACUCUAUGAUUUUUAACAACACCAUCUGGACGUCUAUUACUCAGGUGUGGGGACUGAUUCGCAGAAUGCUCAAAUUCUGGGUGAUACUGACCCCGAAGCAAGCAAAAACCAGGUGGAAUCGUUCUUGGGCGCGCUGGCAAAACUGCUCCAAUAACCCUUUGAUGAUCUUGAGUGGCGGAAAAUGA